AGAAAUAGCUUGGUUUGACUUAAGUACACAAAUGAUUGAGGAGCUUGGUGUUAAAGCCGAAAGUGGUAUUAAUUGCCAGAUAGUAAUUUACUGGAAAAACUUUCUUCCCAUUGAUGGAAUAAAUAAAUAAUUGUUUUUCUAGUUUUCACCUAGAGGUGUAUGAUUAAGGUUUAUUGGAAUAUGACAUUGCAUGUAUACAAACUGAUGUGGUUUGAAUGUCAAUUAGAAUAAUCUUUUGUCUUUUACUAAAUCACCUAUAGAUUUAUGUAAAAAUAUCUAUGCUUUUGUGUUUAAUUUUGUGCUUUAUUUUUUCUUUUGCAUUUCAAAUCCAUAAACUCAAUGUGUUCAAGCUUUAUGGCACGGUUCAAACCAGUUAAUCUUCGUUACUGUGGUUUCACAAAUGAGAAGGCAAAGGUACGGAGCCAAUUACAUAUACUACUGAUAUUUUCUUCUAUAAUAUUCAAUCAAAAUUUUAUAUUAAAUCUUUGAAACGGUUUGAAUGUGUAUUAAAAAUUAUGAUCCCUUUUAUUUGAUAACUCUUAUUUCACGAGCACCUACUGCAAAAGCUUCUGAUGAUGGUGAUUAUGAGAAACAAACAUUUUUUAGUUGCAUUCUCUUUCUGGUGACAUGUUUGAGAAUAAGGUCAAUUUAAUUUGGUCAAGAGUAAAGUUAGAUCAAUCAUGUUCGCCGCUUCUAGUGUAUGAUUCUGGUUUUUCUUUUCAGUGUUUUUGGCUGUUUUGGUUUCAUUUUUGCAGGGUUUCCUUAUUAUCUUGUAAACCAACAAUGACUGCGACGAUGUCAACAACAAUAUAUAGUAAUAACUAAGAAUCAAAAUAUUACAACAUGCAUAUAGUAUUCCUAAUUA
rnacentral:lncRNA from 1 species